rnacentral:tRNA from 1 species
AUCUCUGUGGUCUAGUGGUUAGGUCAUUGCGUUGUGCCUCACUAACCCAUGUUCGAAUCCUGGCAACGAC